UUUAAUUUAAGUUUAGCUAACACCACAAUUAAUUAUUAUUACACAGCUUAGUUUGUGGUCCGGUUAAAGGGAGACUAAGGUUCCAUUGGAGAAAAGAAAGCGUGUUUUAAAAUAACUCGCCAGAAAAUGCUAACGCUACCUAGUUAGCUAAGCUAGCUCAGCACCGACCUACGUGGACACACCUUGAACGGAGCAGCGGCCAGGGGACCAACUCCAGUUCCAAGGCCAGUACCUCCAUCAACGGCAAUGGCAGAAAACCCCAACAAGGAGACUUCAGACUACCAUAUCAGGUCGGGCUGUCCGAGGAUCGGCCUGUGGGAUGGAGGUAAGCUUCUGGGCUUCUGUCUGUCUCUCUCUGUCUCUCAGAUUCCUCUGGAUCCACCCCCCUCCUGGAUCCCAGAUUCUCUCCAUCAUCUCCUCCAACCGUGAGGUCUAACCGGCAGGGCAGGGGCGUGUGG